CUACGGGCCGCUGCAGUGAGGAAUAUUGCACAAUGGGGGGAACCCUGAUGCAGCGACGCCGCGUGGAGGAUGACGCAUUUCGGUGUGUAAACUCCUUUUAUAUGUCAAGAAAAUGACGGUAGCAUAUGAAUAAGCACCGGCUAACUCCGUGCCAGCAGCCGCGGUAAUACGGAGGGUGCAAGCGUUACUCGGAAUCACUGGGCGUAGAGGACGCGUAGGCGGGUUGGAAAGUCAGGUGUGAAAUCCUACAGCUUAACUGUAGAACUGCACUUGAAACUUCUAAUCUAGAGUAUGGGAGGGGGAGAUGGAAUUAGUGGUGUAGGGGUAAAAUCCGUAGAUAUCACUAGGAAUACCUAAAGCGAAGGCGAUCUCCUGGAACAUUACUGACGCUAAGGCGUGAAAGCGUGGGGAGCAAACAGGAUUAGAUACCCCAGUAGUC
rnacentral:rRNA from 1 species